GGCUGAGGUGGGAGGAUUCCUUGAGCCUCGGAGGUCAAGGCUGCAGUGAGCCCUGAUGGUGCCACUGCACUCCAGCUUGGCCGACAGAACGAGACCUUGACUCCAAAAUAGCAAUACUACUGUCUGUCAGGGCUAUGAAGCCACAUGAGACUUGACCCAUUAAGGACAAGAGUGAAGAAAAAUGUAUCAAAUAGAAAUAAUUUUAUCUAAACACUGGCAAGAGGAAAAAGACAUGGAGGAGAAACUUAGAAAUGAAAAGCAGUGAGGCAUCUAUAUGGUCAAAUCUUGUUAGAGAAUGAAGUUCUCAGGGUACACUCUUCCUGGCUAAGCAAUCCCAUCCCAGCCCCUCUCUACUGAAAUCAUUCAUCCUGGUCAAGUGUGUUUCUCAGAAUACCUGGGUAUGUCAACAGAGAUAAAAGAGAAGUGCAGCACACUUCCUAGUUUCAGCUGGCACUAAAACAAGAGAAUGAGUUGUGCGUUUUUUGGUGGAGGUGCCUCCUGAUCGAGUCUACACACUGGCUUGUGAACAUGUUGUCUGUACUGAAGAACUUAUCCCAAAAAGGUGGCUCCACUUACACCAUAGACAAGUACUGUCCUUCCCAUGUCCUUUCAGCAUGAACUGAGAGAGGGGCAGUCUCAAAGUGGCAGGUGUCACAAGAGGUCACUCUCAUAAUCAACAACUGAAGACUUCCCAAAACAGCAACUCCUUGCUUUUGCCCCAGGUUUUCCGAGGCAAAAUUUACAUACCAUCAAGGUCAUCCAUGGAAAUGUUCUAGAGUUGAAAAGAAAGCUCUUUCUACAUCUGCAAGGCUGAUUCAUUUUUCUCCCUUCCAAGAACUCUACUAAAAAAAUUAUUUGUUGCUUAUCUGAAAUGCAAAUGUAACUGGAUGUCCUGUAUUUGUGAAAUUCCGGCAACCCUAAUCCAGGACCAAAGCAGAAUUAACCAAAUAAAUGAAAGUGCAUGUCUAGAAAUAAAUGUACUUUUCUGGAGCAUUGUA
rnacentral:lncRNA from 1 species